rnacentral:rRNA from 1 species
ACGGAUCCUUCGGGAUUAGUGGCAGACGGGUGAGUAACGCGUGGGAAGCUACCUUGUGGUAGGGGACAACAGUUGGAAACGACUGCUAAUACCCUAUGAGCCCUAUGGGGGAAAGAUUUAUCGCCAUGAGAUGUGCCCGCGUUAGAUUAGCUAGUUGGUAAGGUAAUGGCUUACCAAGGCGACGAUCUAUAGCUGGUCUGAGAGGAUGAUCAGCCACACUGGGACUGAGACACGGCCCAGACUCCUACGGGAGGCAGCAGUGGGGAAUAUUGGACAAUGGGGGCAACCCUGAUCCAGCCAUGCCGCGUGUGUGAUGACGGCCUUAGGGUUGUAAAGCACUUUCAGCAGUGAAGAUAAUGACAUUAACUGCAGAAGAAGCCCCG